CUCAUCGAAACAACGACGACCUCAACUUCAACUCCCAACAUCCUUUCUCCCAAAUCAUUUUAAGCGAACCGAUUCUAAAUCAAUUCAAGAUACCUCAGAUGGAGUCGUAUGAUAGCUCCACGGACCCUCUCGAUCACCUACAAGGUUAUAGAACCCUCGUGAUGCUGUAGGACACCUUGGACGUCCUCCUCUACCUCACCUUCCCAACCACCCUCAGAAAGUUCACAUGGGCAUCAUAUUUUAGACUCCAACCU
rnacentral:lncRNA from 1 species